AGUACUUAGAGUAGAAAACCAGAGAAGCAAAUCCAUUUAUUUUACUAGAAAGAAAAUUCUUACUUGUUUUAUCUAGAACCAUGAAAAAGAAGUGGUAUCACAAAUCUGCUUAGUUUUUUUGGACUUGAAGCGUAGAGUCGAAGGCUUUUGAGAUUCCACAAUGCUUGGGAGAAAAUGUGGAUGUCUCCAGGGAGGCCAUACCUAAUGAGGAGCUCCCAACAAAUGGCAACUGAUGUUACCUACAACCGAAUACGUCAAGAAGGAAACACACUCGCUUCAGCCUGCACCAACCAAAAUGACUGCUCAAAGGCCAUUCAGCCCCUUUAUCACUGUGGCUCAACUUUGAUUUUCUUCCCAGUUCAUCCAUGAUUCAGACUUCUUCUGUUUCAGGAGCUUUGCCCAUGCGUUCUGCCACCUUCUGCCAGGAAUUACACCUGUCCCAUCCCGUCGUCUCCUGAAUGUCCAGAGACAGGGGUCUCCCCGUGUUGUCCAGAACGGUCUUGAACUCCUGGUCUUCAAGCAAUCUUCCUGCCUUGGUCUCUCAAAGUGCUGGGAUUACAAGUGUGAGCCACCAUACCCGGUCAUAGCGCUCUUAUAAAAUGCAUCAUCACAUUUAUUUUAUAAAUUCAGAAACAAAAGUCUGUAUAGAGAAGUUUUGAAGUUACUAGGGACCUGAAAAUCAUACUGAAGAUGUCUGCAACUAAAAACUCGAAGAGUUCCGAGGCUAGAGGGGUCAGGAGAUGAAUAAAAACGUUAGCCCCAGCUGAUCACAAUGAGGUUAAUCACAAUACUAAUUAAAAAUACUACAGAUCCUAGGACAAUGGUCAGAAGAGUGACUAUACUUUCCUGUUUGCCCUUGGAAAAUCGAGGGCUGACUUUUCUACGUGCUCAGAUAACCUAAAUUGAUAGAGAGAAAGCUAGCAGAGGAUAAGAUAAACUAGUUAACUGUAAAUAAGAUUUUGCUGUUGGAGAAUCUUCUUGUUGCUCUGGUUUUAGAUAGCGGAGGAAGCCAAAAAAUAUCUGCUUUAAGUUACCAGGAGUUGAAGUUCAUCCCUGCUGAAGUUAACAGGUUGCUUCCCUUUUUCUGGUGUAUUCUUACUUUACUGGCAAAGAGAAAAUAAAUUAAUACCUUAUUGUUAAAAG
rnacentral:lncRNA from 1 species